ACAUCAAUUUUUUUUCAUAUAUAAUAUUUGUUUUAUUUGGGUUUCAUAUAAUAUUGGCACCAGAUUUGCUCCAUAGCCCUGCACAUCUCUGGAAAGCAGCUCGGUUCUUGUUGACGACAGGGGAAUCUGUCGAACCUUUUCUUGAAGCUGCUGUCACUCUUUUAAUUUCUAAAUUGUUUCUGUAUUUGCCUCCAUACACCCUUUAAUCAUUUCUGAGUGACUUUUUUGUGCUUGCCCAACAUCCAUUCCACUCGUAGUGAGCACUCGUGAGCCCGUUCUUGUGCUGUUACCGUCUGUGUUGUACGCUCGCACUGUACUUUCAGUUCGUAUAUUUUCCGUGACCACGUCACUCAUUCUGUCGGGUAAUUUGUGUCAGGCGCUCUUAACAAAACCAGCUGACUCCAUGUUUAUAAUACAAACCGGCCUGUAGAACUCACUGCUGGUAAAUAAAAUCGAAAGCUUCGGUCCACUCAUCUCCAAAGACACGAUUUUCAGUCCACUUUUCGAAUUGUUGAUAGAGCCACUGUUCACGCACAUUCCAGAUAACUAUACGUCCCAACUACGUAAACAUUAGAACACCACUGUCAGUCCCCGAUCCCCUUUCCCUAACCACGCCCUAAUAGCGCGCAUGUAUAUUACGUCACUUCCUCUUUGCCGCCAAACUUUGCGACGGUGGAGAGUUUUGGAUUUGAUUUGCGUCAGCUGGAUUUGAUUUCCAACAGUUGGGUGAUCGGGUAGCCGAAACAGAGAUCCGACAAUAACAGCUGAUCGCCACAGUCGCUACUAUUCCAUAAACCAUAUUCCAAAAACAUCCAUUCAUCUCUCAGUAACGGAUCACCUCCUUCAACAGAGUCACCACGUUCAAAGGAUGACUGCAGUUACAACCUGAAAGAUGGAAUAUGUCCUGGACAAAGACCGUCCUCCAGGAGAGCUCAUAGUGAAGGAGAUGAUAUCUGCUCAACCUGUGAAGACUUUAGGAUCCUGAAUAUGACACAAUGGAUGGAAUCCUCCGAGAAAAAUGUCUACAUCGAUGACCUUUACUGCCUUUAUGACAACCUAGAAGGAUCUCCAAGUU